UGGGGAGUACGGCCGCAAGGUUAAAACUCAAAUGAAUUGACGGGGGCCCGCACAAGCGGUGGAGCAUGUGGUUUAAUUCGAUGCAACGCGAAGAACCUUACCUGGUCUUGACAUCCACAGAAGAAUCCAGAGAUGGAUUUGUGCCUUCGGGAACUGUGAGACAGGUGCUGCAUGGCUGUCGUCAGCUCGUGUUGUGAAAUGUUGGGUUAAGUCCCGCAACGAGCGCAACCCUUAUCCUUUGUUGCCAGCGGUCCGGCCGGGAACUCAAAGGAGACUGCCAGUGAUAAACUGGAGGAAGGUGGGGAUGACGUCAAGUCAUCAUGGCCCUUACGACCAGGGCUACACACGUGCUACAAUGGCGCAUACAAAGAGAAGCGACCUCGCGAGAGCAAGCGGACCUCAUAAAGUGCGUCGUAGUCCGGAUUGGAGUCUGCAACUCGACUCCAUGAAGUCGGAAUCGCUAGUAAUCGUGGAUCAGAAUGCCACGGUGAAUACGUUCCCGGGCCUUGUACACACCGCCCGUCACACCAUGGGAGUGGGUUGCAAAAGAAGUAGGUAGCUUAACCUUCGGGAGGGCGCUUACCACUUUGUGAUUCAUGACUGGGGUGAAGUCGUAACAAGGUAACCGUAGGGGAACCUGCGGUUGGAUCACCUCCUUACCUUAAAGAA
rnacentral:rRNA from 3 species